rnacentral:rRNA from 1 species
GUGCCAGCAGCUGCGGCGGUAAUACGGAGGGUGCAAGCGUUAAUCGGAAUUACUGGGCGUAAAGCGCACGCAGGCGGUCUGUCAAGUCGGAUGUGAAAUCCCCGGGGCUCAACCCGGGAACUGCAUUCGAAACUGUCAGGCUGGAGUCUCGUAGAGGGGGUAGAAUUCCAGGUGUAGCGGUGAAAUGCGUAGAGAUCUGGAGGAAUACCGGUGGCGAAGGCGGCCCCCUGGACGAAGACUGACGCUCAGGUGCGAAAGCGUGGGAGCAAACAGGAUUAGAUACCCUGGUAGUCCACGCCGUAACGAU